rnacentral:rRNA from 1 species
ACGGAAGGCAGCAGUGGGGAAUAUUGCACAAUGGGGGAAACCCUGAUGCAGCGACGCCGCGUGAAGGAAGAAGUAUCUCGGUAUGUAAACUUCUAUCAGCAGGGAAGAUAAUGACGGUACCUGACUAAGAAGCCCCGGCUAACUACGUGCCAGCAGCCGCGGUAAUACGUAGGGGGCAAGCGUUAUCCGGAUUUACUGGGUGUAAAGGGAGCGUAGACGGAUCGGCAAGUCUGAUGUGAAAGGCUGGGGCGCAACCCCGGGACUGCAUUGGAAACUGUCGGUCUUGAGUGCCGGAGGGGUAAGCGGAAUUCCUAGUGUAGCGGUGAAAUGCGUAGAUAUUAGGAGGAACACCAGUGGCGAAGGCGGCUUACUGGACGGUAACUGACGUUGAGGCUCGAAAGCGUGGGGAGCAAACAGGAUUAGAUACCCUGGUA